rnacentral:tRNA from 1 species
CGGGUAUAGUUUAGUGGUAAAAGUGUGAAUUCCGUUUCA